UGUUGACACACUAUAAGCCGGCGGACACUUUUGCUUUGUCUCCAACUUGCUCAAAAAGCUAUGUUGUCUGGGGGACGAGAAGCCCCCCUGGUCAGGUCUCCUAAGGCAAACAGGUCCAAGGUGAGGACCAGACAAAGAGCAGCUCGAAGACCUCUAUAAAAAAAGAAAAUCUAAGAACAAGAUUUCCCUCACCCGGACGCGGCUCGCCGCCCCCCGGAGCCAGACCUAGAGUAUUGCGGGCGUUCUGAGAGCCCACAAUACGGCGGCCAUCCAGCAACAUCAGGAUUCCUGGUUUGAAUCCAGCAUGGACUAACCUAGUCAUGGCCAUUGUGUCCUUGGGCAAGACACUUCACCCACCUUGCUUCCAGAGCCGCUCACACUGGUGUACGGAUUUGAUGGUCCGAGAGGCCUUAGG